UACGUAGGGGGCAAGCGUUGUCCGGAAUCAUUGGGCGUAAAGAGCGUGUAGGUGGCUCGGUAAGUCCGCUGUAAAAGUCCAGGGCUCAACCCUGGAAAGCCGGUGGAAACUGUCGAGCUAGAGUCCGGAAGAGGCGAGUGGAAUUCCUGGUGUAGCGGUGAAAUGCGCAGAUAUCAGGAGGAACACCAAUGGCGGAGGCAGCUCGCUGGGACGGUACUGACACUGAGACACGAAGGCCAGGGGAGCAAACGGG
rnacentral:rRNA from 1 species